AGCGUUAUCCGGAAUCAUUGGGCGUAAAGCGCCUGUAGGUUGUUUAAUAAGUCUGUUGUUAAAGACUAGGGCCCAACCCCUAGAAAAGCAAUGGAAACUACUAGACUAGAGUAUGGUAGGGGUAGAGGGAAUUUCUAGUGUAGCGGUGAAAUGCGUAGAUAUUAGAAAGAACACCAGUGGCGAAAGCGCUCUACUGGACCAUUACUGACACUCAGAGGCGAAAGCUAGGGUAGCAAAAGGGAUUAGAUACCCCUGUAGUCCUAGCCGUAAACGAUGGAUACUAGAUGUUGUAUAUAAUUUACAGUAUCGUAGCUAACGCGUUAAGUAUCCCGCCUGGGGAGUACGCUCGCAAGGGUGAAACUCAAAGGAAUUGACGGGGGCCCGCACAAGCGGUGGAGCAUGUGGUUUAAUUCGAUGCAACGCGAAGAACCUUACCAGGGCUUGACAUACUACAGAUCCCUUUGAGAAAAGGGAGUGCCUUCGGGAAUGUAGAUACAGGUGGUGCAUGGCUGUCGUCAGCUCGUGUCGUGAGAUGUUGGGUUAAGUCCCGCAACGAGCGCAACCCUUAUUUUUAGUUACUAAUUCGUUAGGUUCUCUAGAAAGACUGCCGGUGACAAACCGGAGGAAGGUGAGGAUGACGUCAAGUCAGCAUGCCCCUUAUGUCCUGGGCUACACACGUGCUACAAUGGUUAAGACAAAGAGUCGCGAGCUCGUGAGAGUCAGCUAAUCUCGUAAACUUUGCCUAAGUU
rnacentral:rRNA from 1 species